rnacentral:tRNA from 1 species
CCUGACAUCGUCUAGUGGUUAGGACACCAGGUUCUGAUUUGCUUGUAAUGGUACAAUCUCAUUCAGAUCUUCCUGGUAACCCCGGUUCAAACCCGGGUGUCAGGU